rnacentral:rRNA from 1 species
AUUGAACGCUAGCGGGAUGCUUUACACAUGCAAGUCGAACGGCAGCGCGGAACUUCGGUUCUGGCGGCGAGUGGCGAACGGGUGAGUAAUAUAUCGGAACGUGCCCAGUAGCGGGGGAUA